UCUUUGGAUUAUUUGCGUUUAUUUGCAUUUCAGAUGAUCUUUUCCUGUAUUCGGGAUUCGGGACACACAGUCAACUGUCUUUCCUGGUCUAAGGAGCAAAAGACGCUUUCCCUUCAGGACACCUGGAACUAGGAUCCAUAUUAAAUUAAUAUUUUAUUGUCAAGAUGGUACAGACAAAGGGAAUUGGGCAACAGGACAAGCCUAUAAAAGCCCUCUCCUAUUUGAAGUUGGUGAAACACUUUGUGUUAUGAACAAUCGUACAUAGUUGCGACAUUCACUUAAGAUAUAA